UCUAGAAAUUUGGGCAAUGGGCGAAAGCCUGACCCAGCGACACCGCGUGGAGGAUGAAGUCUUUCGGGAUGUAAACUCCUGACAGGCGGAGCGAUGCCGUUUCGGAGUAACUGCCGCGACGGUGACGGUACUGCCAAAGGAAGCCCCGGCUAACUACGUGCCAGCAGCCGCGGUAAUACGUAGGGGGCAAGCGCUGUCCGGAUUUACUGGGCGUAAAGGGUGUGCAGGCGGACUGGCAUGUCGAUGGUGAAAGCUCUCGGCUCAACCGGGAAAGUGCUGUCGAAACUACCAGUCUUGAGGACGGAAGAGGAAACUGGAACUUCUGGUGUAGCGGUAAAAUGCGUAGAUAUCAGAAGGAACGCCGAUAGCGAAGGCAGGUUUCUGGGACGUUCCUGACGCUGAAACACGAAAGCUAGGGGAGCAAACAGGAUUAGAUACCCUGGUAGUCCUAGCUGUAAACGAUGUACAUUAGGCGUGGGGAGUUUUCCCCGUGCCGGAGCCAACGCGUUAAAUGUACCGCCUGGGGACUACGGCCGCAAGGUUG
rnacentral:rRNA from 1 species